rnacentral:rRNA from 1 species
CCUACGGGAGGCAGCAGUGGGGAAUAUUGGACAAUGGGCGGAAGCCUGAUCCAGCAACGCCGCGUGAGGGAUGACGGCCUUCGGGUUGUAAACCUCUUUCAGUAUCGACGAAGCGCCCGUGUGGGUGGUGACGGUAGGUACAGAAGAAGCACCGGCCAACUACGUGCCAGCAGCCGCGGUAAUACGUAGGGUGCGAGCGUUGUCCGGAAUUAUUGGGCGUAAAGGGCUCGUAGGCGGUUUGUCGCGUCGGGAGUGAAAACACUGGGCUUAACCGAGUGCUUGCUUUCGAUACGGGCAGACUAGAGGUAUGCAGGGGAGAACGGAAUUCCUGGUGUAGCGGUGAAAUGCGCAGAUAUCAGGAGGAACACCGGUGGCGAAGGCGGUUCUCUGGGCAUUACCUGACGCUGAGGAGCGAAAGUGUGGGGAGCGAACAGGAUUAGAUACCCUGGUAGUCCACACCGUAAACGUUGGGCGCUAGGUGUGGGGCCCUAUUCCUAUGGUCGUGCGCNGCUACGCAUAGCGCCCGCCGUCGGGUAGGUACGGCCGGCGACGGACGUAAACCGUACGAAACGGAAGUUAAGUACGGUCGUUGAGUACGUUCGCCGACGGACGACGACGAGGGAGGAGG